rnacentral:rRNA from 1 species
UCUCCUUGUGACCUUGCGUUAAUAGAUGAGCCUAAGUCGGAUUAGCUAGUUGGUGGGGUAAAGGCCUACCAAGGCGACGAUCUGUAGCGGGUCUGAGAGGAUGAUCCGCCACACUGGGACUGAGACACGGCCCAGACUCCUACGGGAGGCAGCAGUGGGGAAUAUUGGACAAUGGGGGGAACCCUGAUCCAGCCAUGCCCGCCGUGUGUGAAGAAGGCCUUAUGGUUGUAAAGCACUUUAAGCGAGGAGGAGGCUCUUUUGGUUAAUACCCAAGAUGAGUGGACGUUACUCGCAGAAUAAGC